UACGAACUGUGCAAACGUUAUUCGGAAUCACUGGGCUUAAAGGGUGCGUAGGCGGCUAUUUAAGUAGGGUGUGAAAUCCCCCGGCUCAACCGGGGAACUGCGCUCUAAACUGGAUGGCUUGAGUGAGAUAGGGGUGUGUGGAACUUCCGGUGGAGCGGUGAAAUGUGUUGAUAUCGGAAGGAACGCCGGUGGCGAAAGCGACACACUGGGUCUCAACUGACGCUGAGGCACGAAAGCCAGGGGAGCGAAC
rnacentral:rRNA from 1 species